UUUUAUGGAGAGUUUGAUCCUGGCUCAGGAUGAACGCUGGCGGCGUGCCUAAUACAUGCAAGUCGAGCGAACGGACGAGAAGCUUGCUUCUCUGAUGUUAGCGGCGGACGGGUGAGUAACACGUGGAUAACCUACCUAUAAGACUGGGAUAACUUCGGGAAACCGGAGCUAAUACCGGAUAAUAUUUUGAACCGCAUGGUUCAAAAGUAAAAGACGGUCUUGCUGUCACUUAUAGAUGGAUCCGCGCUGCAUUAGCUAGUUGGUAAGGUAACGGCUUACCAAGGCAACGAUGCAUAGCCGACCUGAGAGGGUGAUCGGCCACACUGGAACUGAGACACGGUCCAGACUCCUACGGGAGGCAGCAGUAGGGAAUCUUCCGCAAUGGGCGAAAGCCUGACGGAGCAACGCCGCGUGAGUGAUGAAGGUCUUCGGAUCGUAAAACUCUGUUAUUAGGGAAGAACAUAUGUGUAAGUAACUGUGCACAUCUUGACGGUACCUAAUCAGAAAGCCACGGCUAACUACGUGCCAGCAGCCGCGGUAAUACGUAGGUGGCAAGCGUUAUCCGGAAUUAUUGGGCGUAAAGCGCGCGUAGGCGGUUUUUUAAGUCUGAUGUGAAAGCCCACGGCCCAACCGUUGGGGGCCUUUUGACACUGGAAAACCUGAGUGCAGAAGAGGAGAGCGGAAUUCCAUGUCUCGCGGAGAAAUGCGCAGAGAUAUGGAGGUAAACCAGUGGCGAAGGCGGCUUUCUGGUCUGUAACUGUCGCUGAUGUGCGAAAGGGUGGGGAUCAAACAGGAUUAGAUACCCUGGUAGUCCACGCCGUAAACGAUGAGUGCUAAGUGUUAGGGGGUUUCCGCCCCUUAGUGCUGCAGCUAACGCAUUAAGCACUCCGCCUGGGGAGUACGACCGCAAGGUUGAAACUCAAAGGAAUUGACGGGGACCCGCACAAGCGGUGGAGCAUGUGGUUUAAUUCGAAGCAACGCGAAGAACCUUACCAAAUCUUGACAUCCUUUGACAACUCUAGAGAUAGAGCUUUCCCCUUCGGGGGACAAAGUGACAGGUGGUGCAUGGUUGUCGUCAGCUCGUGUCGUGAGAUGUUGGGUUAAGUCCCGCAACGAGCGCAACCCUUAAGCUUAGUUGCCAUCAUUAAGUUGGGCACUCUAAGUUGACUGCCGGUGACAAACCGGAGGAAGGUGGGGAUGACGUCAAAUCAUCAUGCCCCUUAUGAUUUGGGCUACACACGUGCUACAAUGGACAAUACAAAGGGCAGCGAAACCGCGAGGUCAAGCAAAUCCCAUAAAGUUGUUCUCAGUUCGGAUUGUAGUCUGCAACUCGACUACAUGAAGCUGGAUCGCUAGUAAUCGUAGAUCAGCAUGCUACGGUGAAUACGUUCCCGGGUCUUGUACACACCGCCCGUCACACCACGAGAGUUUGUAACACCCGAAGCCGGUGGAGUAACCUUUUAGGAGCUAGCCGUCGAAGGUGGGACAAAUGAUUGGGGUGAAGUCGUAACAAGGUAGCCGUAUCGGAAGGUGCGGCUGGAUCACCUCCUUUCUAA
rnacentral:rRNA from 1 species